rnacentral:rRNA from 1 species
UCUUUGGUCAUUUUAGAGGAAGUAAAAGUCGUAACAAGGUUUCCGUAGGUGAACCUGCGGAAGGAUCAUUACAAAUAUCUGGGAUGUCCAAUCGGGCCCCCAAGCAAACACAUCCAUGUGUACACUCCCAUGUUGCUUCCCCAGAUCAGUGGCCACUGCUGCCAGCCCAACCCCUUGAUUGGGGUCCUGGGUUGAGGUGUCUGGGGAAGGGCCCAAUAACAAACCUGUGAACCAAUUAGUUGUCUGAGUAGGCCACCUGCCGCAAUCUUUAAAACAUGUUAAAACUUUCAACAACGGAUCUCUUGGCUCUCGCAUCGAUGAAGAACGCAGCGAAAUGCGAUAAGUAAUGUGAAUUGCAGAAUUCAGUGAAUCAUCGAAUCUUUGAACGCACAUUGCGCCCUUUGGUAUUCCUUAGGGCAUGCCUGUUCGAGCGUCACUAAAAACCCCCUCACAGAUAAUGUGGUAUUGGUAGAAGUGAACGGUACUUACAUUACCUUGUCUCACUCUGCUGAAAUGAAUUGGCCAGAGAAGUGGACCCAUGGUAAUUGACUCCAGGAGUGUUUUUCAAUGCUAAACUAGUCUUUACCCAAGUCAAGUUCUGAGCUACCGGACCCCCCAUUAAGUCCAAAACAGAGUGGUUGACCUCGGAUCAGGUAGGGAUACCCGCUGAACUUAAGCAUAUCAAUAAGCGGAGG